rnacentral:rRNA from 1 species
UACGGAGGGUGCGAGCGUUGUCCGGAAUCACUGGGCGUAAAGGGCGCGUAGGCGGCCUGGUAAGUAGGGGGUGAAAUCCUGCGGCUUAACCGCAGGGCUGCCUUCUAAACUGUCAGGCUCGAGCACGGUAGAGGCAGAUGGAAUUCCCGGUGUAGCGGUGGAAUGCGUAGAGAUCGGGAAGAACAUCAGUGGCGAAGGCGGUUACCUGGAGCUUUGCUGACGCUGAUGCGCGAAAGCGUGGGGAGCGAUCCGG